ACGAACUCUGGUAUUGAUUGGUGCUUGCAUCAUGAUUUACAUUUGACUGAGUGGCGAACUGGUGAGUAACACGUGGGAAACCUGCCCACAAGCGGGGGAUAACACCUGGAAACAGAUGCUAAUACCGCAUAACAACUUGGACCGCAUGGUCCGAGCUUGAAAGAUGGCUUCGGCUAUCACUUUUGGAUGGUCCCGCGGCGUAUUAGCUAGAUGGUGGGGUAACGGCUCACCAUGGCAAUGAUACGUAGCCGACCUGAGAGGGUAAUCGGCCACAUUGGGACUGAGACACGGCCCAAACUCCUACGGGAGGCAGCAGUAGGGAAUCUUCCACAAUGAACGAAAGUCUGAUGGAGCAACGCCGCGUGAGUGAAGAAGGGUUUCGGCUCGUAAAACUCUGUUGUUAAAGAAGAACAUAUCUGAGAGUAACUGUUCAGGUAUUGACGGUAUUUAACCAGAAAGCCACGGCUAACUACGUGCCAGCAGCCGCGGUAAUACGUAGGUGGCAAGCGUUGUCCGGAUUUAUUGGGCGUAAAGCGAGCGCAGGCGGUUUUUUAAGUCUGAUGUGAAAGCCUUCGGCUCAACCGAAGAAGUGCAUCGGAAACUGGGAAACUUGAGUGCAGAAGAGGACAGUGGAACUCCAUGUGUAGCGGUGAAAUGCGUAGAUAUAUGGAAGAACACCAGUGGCGAAGGCGGCUGUCUGGUCUGUAACUGACGCUGAGGCUCGAAAAGUAUGGGUAGCAAACAGGAUUAGAUACCCUGGUAGUC
rnacentral:rRNA from 1 species